CCUACGGGUGGCAGCAGUGGGGAAUAUUGGACAAUGGGCGAAAGCCUGAUCCAGCCAUGCCGCGUGUGUGAGGAAGGCCUUCGGGUUGUAAAGCACUUUCAGUGGGGAAGAAAGCCUUGGGGCUAAUACCCUCGAGGAAGGACAUCACCCACAGAAGAAGCACCGGCUAACUCCGUGCCAGCAGCCGCGGUAAUACGGAGGGUGCGAGCGUUAAUCGGAAUUACUGGGCGUAAAGCGCGCGUAGGCGGUCUGAUAAGCCGGUUGUGAAAGCCCCGGGCUCAACCUGGGAACGGCAUCCGGAACUGUCAGGCUAGAGUGCAGGAGAGGAAGGUAGAAUUCCCGGUGUAGCGGUGAAAUGCGUAGAGAUCGGGAGGAAUACCAGUGGCGAAGGCGGUCUUCUGGACUGACACUGACGCUGAGGUGCGAAAGCGUGGGUAGCAAACAGGAUUAGAUACCCGAGUAGUC
rnacentral:rRNA from 1 species